rnacentral:rRNA from 1 species
AUGAUAAACUUUCGCAUAAGGGUCAGAACCUCCUUCCUUCCCGCCGCCGCGUCAGCGCCUGCGGCCGGCUUGGCCCCGGGGCUGCUAGUGGCGGCGGCCUCCCUGCCCUUCCCCUCCCGGUCGCUCUUCGGCACGGGCAGAGCUGCACCCGGGGGCGGGGUGCACUUAGGCGGCGGCGGUCUAGCGCGGCGGCGGGGUUCCGUGGCGCGACGCAGGCGAGCAGCUGGGCGGCGGCGUGAUCUAGCGUCGCCUGCUUGGCCAAGAUCCGGGCCCUUCGGGCCCCAUCUGGGCCUGGGCGGGCCGGCGGCAGGGAUGGUCUCCGAUGUGGCUUCCAGAAGGUGGGGGAGAUGCGAUGAGCGGCCGGGUGCUGGCGGCGCCGACGUCAGCCUGUUGCAUCAUGGCCGGCGGGGCUUAACGGGUCCGCUUCGGGCCUGGCUGGGCCAGGGGUGGCCCGGCAUGCCCCGCUGCCGCGUCCGGACGACGACCGCAAUGGUGCCGGAGGCAGGGGCCUCCCGCACGACGGCGAUGGAGGUGGUUCCCUCCCGCUCGGCUUCGGUGUUGCUGCUCCCAUCGUGGUGCGCUUCUCUCCGGUCCUCUUGGCCUCGUGGUGGUGUUCGUAGUGAGGCGGCGUGGGUGGCGGCGCAACUGCGUUGGCGCAUGGUGGUGGGCGACGGUUUGGCGGGUCGGCUCCGUCCGGUUUGGCGGUUGGGUUUGGGGGUGUCGAUGGUAUCAAUUCCUCAUCUCCAUCCACGUGCCGGGGAAAUCCUAGGACUCGUCCAAGCAGCAGCGUCGUCCACGCCGCAUCCCUUUUUGGACGUGCCGCUUGGUACGCGGCGGUUCAGAGCCUCGACUUGUGGUGGUUUGUAUCCGAUGGACGCUGUGGUGGCGGGUCAUCCGCACCUUGCCGAGCUGACGUGGUUGGCAUAUUUUUUUUGGCUUGUUGUGCUGCUCGCCACAACGAUCUUCGUAUUCGGUGUUGGUUGUUUUCGAAUACAAAGCGGGAUCCUUUUUGGUCUUCGUCCGCUUCCUACACCCCUUCCUCGGCGCGGCGCUUCACAAAUCUCGCGUUCGUCCCACUCUAUUUGCCUUCGAGGCCACUCGCGGCCUAUGGCCCCAAUUCGCCGCAACAGGCGGCAGGCGCAAGGGAAGGAGGCCCAGUCGGGCUUUGAAGCGCCGUCUCUGCUCGGCGGCAAUGCGCCGACCGGCGAGUUCGGCUCUUGUCCCCAGCCGGAUCGCACCGUGCACUUUCCCAGGCCCAAGGGGAACGGGCCUGCCGGCGAGUCCAGCUCCAGCAAGCAUCGCUCGCCGCCGCGGGAAGAGGACGUCGAGAUGGUGGCCUGGCAGCAGACGGACCGUCAGCGGCGGAAGUGGAGCGAGUCGACGGCGGGAGGCGAGCAAGCGAGGGCGCCGCGGCGAUGGGCGGCGAGGUACUCGACCUUUCUCAUGAAGGUCACGCCGUGGCACGAGGGAGGUGUCCUCCUCCUCCAGCCCGGUGACAACCCUCGCCUCGUCCUCAAGGACGACCGCGGCGUCACCAUCGAUGCGCGGCUCCUUCGCGACGGCGAAUCCGUGUCCUUUGAUGACACCAUCCUGUUCCCAUGCCACCGGGCUAUCGUCGGCGUCGCCCUGGGAGAAGGUGACUCCCGGGUUUGA